AUUGAACGCUGGCGGCAUGCCUUACACAUGCAAGUCGAACGGCAGCACGGGAGCAAUCCUGGUGGCGAGUGGCGAACGGGUGAGUAAUAUAUCGGAACGUGCCCAGUCGUGGGGAUAACGUAGCGAAAGCUACGCUAAUACCGCAUACGAUCUAUGGAUGAAAGCGGGGGAUCGCAAGACCUCGCGCGAUUGGAGCGGCCGAUAUCAGAUUAGGUAGUUGGUGAGGUAAAGGCUCACCAAGCCGACGAUCUGUAGCUGGUCUGAGAGGACGACCAGCCACACUGGGACUGAGACACGGCCCAGACUCCUACGGGAGGCAGCAGUGGGGAAUUUUGGACAAUGGGCGCAAGCCUGAUCCAGCAAUGCCGCGUGCAGGAUGAAGGCCCUCGGGUUGUAAACUGCUUUUGUACGGAACGAAAGGUUUGUCUUAAUACGAUGAGCUCAUGACGGUACCGUAAGAAUAAGCACCGGCUAACUACGU
rnacentral:rRNA from 1 species